CCCGGCCCUGGUUGGGGCACGUGAGGGAGGCGACCAGUUGAUGUGUCUCUCUCACAUCGAAGUUUCUCUCUCUCCCCUCCUCCUCCCUACCUUUCACCCUCUCU